AACCAGCACCUCAAGUGGUAACUCUGAUUUUUUUGCCUAAAGCAUCCGUAGCCGGCUCUGUAAGUUUUCGGUUAAAUCUGUACGCUCAACGUACAGGCUGCCGGGAAUACUGCAGAGCUAGGGAGUGGGAGAGGUAGACGGUACUCGGUAGGAAGGGGUAAAAUCCUUUGAUCUAUUGAUGACCACCUGUGGCGAAGGCGGUCUACCAGAACAUGUCCGAUGGUGAGGGAUGAAAGCUGGGGGAGCAAACCGG
rnacentral:rRNA from 1 species